GAUGAACGCUGGCGGCGUGCUUAACACAUGCAAGUCGAACGGUGAAGGCGGAGCUUGCUCUGCUGGAUCAGUGGCGAACGGGUGAGUAACACGUGAGCAAUCUGCCCCUGACUCUGGGAUAAGCGCUGGAAACGGCGUCUAAUACUGGAUACGAGCUGCGGAGGCAUCUUCAGCAGCUGGAAAGAAUUUCGGUCAGGGAUGAGCUCGCGGCCUAUCAGCUUGUUGGUGAGGUGAUGGCUCACCAAGGCGUCGACGGGUAGCCGGCCUGAGAGGGUGACCGGCCACACUGGGACUGAGACACGGCCCAGACUCCUACGGGAGGCAGCAGUGGGGAAUAUUGCACAAUGGGCGAAAGCCUGAUGCAGCAACGCCGCGUGAGGGACGACGGCCUUCGGGUUGUAGACCUCUUUUAGCAGGGAAGAAGCGAAAGUGACGGUACCUGCAGAAAAAGCGCCGGCUAACUACGUG
rnacentral:rRNA from 1 species